rnacentral:hammerhead_ribozyme from 10 species
AUUAGGUCGGGUUCUGGUGCCGAACCCCUGAUGAGCCCUGGCAGGGCGAAACCAAAA